rnacentral:rRNA from 1 species
AGGACGAACGCUGGCGGCGUGCUUAACACAUGCAAGUCGAGCGGAAAGGCCCUUCGGGGUACUCGAGCGGCGAACGGGUGAGUAACACGUGAGCAACCUGCCCUUAGCUUCGGGAUAGCUCCGGGAAACCGGAAUUAAUACCGAAUAUGACUGCGGCUGACAUCAGCCACGGUGGAAAGUUUUUCGGCUAGGGAUGGACUCGCGGCCUAUCAGCUAGUUGGUGAUGUAACGGCCCACCAAGGCGACGACGGGUA